rnacentral:rRNA from 1 species
UUUAACGGCCGCGGUAUUCUGACCGUGCAAAGGUAGCGUAAUCACUCGCCCCUUAAAUGAGGGCUUGUAUGAAUGGCUAGACGAGGGUCUUACUGUCUCCUUUUUCCAACCUGUGAAAUUGAUUUACCCGUGCAGAAGCGGGUAUAGUAAUACAAGACGAGAAGACCCUUUGGAGCUUUAGGUAAAGAGUUACUCAUGUAAUUAAGGCUUACAAAUAUAUAAACAUAGUGAAAUUAUCAUCUUACCUUAGGUUGGGGCGACCGUGGAGAAAAACAGAUCCUCCAAAUGGAUUGAGCUUAUGCUUAAAACCCAGAAUUACAAUUCUAAGUCACAAAACAUUUGACCAAAAGAUCCAAUAAGUUGAUUAAUGAAAAAAGUUACCCUAGGGAUAACAGCGCAAUCUCCUUUGAAAGUUCCUAUCGACAAGGGGGUUUACGACCUCGAUGUUGGAUCAGG